rnacentral:rRNA from 1 species
UACAGAGGGUGCGAGCGUUAAUCGGAAUUACUGGGCGUAAAGCGUGCGUAGACGGUUAUGUAAGUCAGGUGUGAAAGCCCCGGGCUCAACCUGGGAACUGCAUUUGUGACUGCAUGGCUAGAGUACGGCAGAGGGGGAUGGAAUUCCGCGUGUAGCAGUGAAAUGCGUAGAUAUGCGGAGGAACACCGAUGGCGAAGGCAAUCCCCUGGGCCUGUACUGACGCUCAUGCACGAAAGCGUGGGGAGCAAACAGG